rnacentral:rRNA from 1 species
UACAGAGGUCUCAAGCGUUGUUCGGAUUCAUUGGGCGUAAAGGGUGCGUAGGUGGCAUGGUAAGUCGGAUGUGAAAUCCCGGGGCUCAACCCCGGAACUGCAUUCGAUACUGCUGAGCUAGAGUACUGGAGAGGAGAUUGGAAUUUACGGUGUAGCAGUGAAAUGCGUAGAUAUCGUAAGGAAGACCAGUGGCGAAGGCGGAUCUCUGGACAGUUACUGACACUGAGGCACGAAGGCCAGGGAGCAAACGGG